UGCUGGGAGGGGCCUACAAUGCUGGGAGGGGCCUGAGAUACUGGGAGGGGCCUACAAUGCUGGGAAGGGCCCGAGAUACUGGGAGGGGCCUGAGGUGCUGGUGUUUGUUUGUUUGUUUGUAAGACCCCUGAUGAGGCUACCCAUCUGCACACCACAUACCAGACAAGAAGUACCUUACAUGAACUAGCCCAUUUAAUCCCCCACACACUCUAAACACACAUUGCUGUCCCCACUGUACAGGCUGGAGUUCCAAGAGAGCACAGUCAGCUAAAGGCAGAAUCCACAGUGAUCCCCAUUUUUCAUGGGUACAUGGGAUCCUUUUAAAAUGUGAUGCUCGGUGCCAGCCAACAUUGCAGAAAGGGCUAGGCUCACCUCUAUCGGCAACUGAACCUUCAGCAGAGAUGGCUCAGUGGCUGACGAUGCUCGCUGCCAGCCUGGGACGAAGCUCCAGAACCUACCUGGUGGAAGGAGAGAGCUCACCCCCUCUGGCUGGUCUCUGCCCUCCACAAGAGAACUGCAGCAUUCCGUGCCCACAACACACAGUAUAAGUGGAUUUAAAUGUAAUGAUUCUCUUAAAAAUAGUGACUUCUGCUUUG